CUCGCCGUCGGUCACUCAUCGUAGCUCACCCUCUCCUCGGCUCCCAUCGACGUUCAGGAUGGUUUAUAAUUUCUGACUUCAAAUUUGGCUCGUAGGCAAUUCAAGACUCGAGAACAUAAGAUACAGAUAAUAAGGCUUCAGAAUAUGAAUUGAUAUACUCAAUUUGCUUGGAGCAAGUUAACUAGGAGACCUUGUUUGAAGCUUGCUAUGUUUGCAUCAGUUUUCAGGGGCACAAGGAAUGGAUCGAUGAAAUGAACUUGUUGCAUGUAGUCAAGCACCAAAAUCUUGUCAAGUUAGUGGGAUACUGUGCAGAAGAUGAUGAAAGAGGGAUUCAGCGGCUUUUGGUGUAUGAGCUCAUGCGUAACAAAAGCUUAGAGGACCAUCUGUUGGCUCGGGUAGCGUCUCCUCUGCCAUGGAUGGCAAGAUUAAAAAUUGCUCAAGAUGCAGCUCGUGGUUUGACUUAUCUGCAUGGAGAAAUGGACUUUGGAGACUAAAAAUUUGUAUGAUGAAUUAUUAUUAAAUUUGUAUGAUGGAUUUAUUUUGAUUUAUAAUAUAAAUUGGUUACUGAAUUGUUUUGUAGAGUGAUGUAUAAUAGCUAGUGGAUUUGUUAGUAUAUUUGAAGGCUAUUGAGAUAUGAGCAGGAUAU